GACGAACGCUGGCGGCGUGCUUAACACAUGCCAGUCGAACGGAAAGGCCCUGCUUUUGUGGGGUGCUCGAGUGGCGAACGGGUGAGUAACACGUGAGUAACCUGCCCUUGACUUUGGGAUAACUUCAGGAAACUGGGGCUAAUACCGGAUAGGAGCUCCUGCUGCAUGGUGGGGGUUGGAAAGUUUCGGCGGUUGGGGAUGGACUCGCGGCUUAUCAGCUUGUUGGUGGGGUAGUGGCUUACCAAGGCUUUGACGGGUAGCCGGCCUGAGAGGGUGACCGGCCACAUUGGGACUGAGAUACGGCCCAGACUCCUACGGGAGGCAGCAGUGGGGAAUAUUGCACAAUGGGCGGAAGCCUGAUGCAGCAACGCCGCGUGCGGGAUGACGGCCUUCGGGUUGUAAACCGCUUUCGCCUGUGACGAAGCGUGAGUGACGGUAAUGGGUAAAGAAGCACCGGCUAACUACGUGC
rnacentral:rRNA from 1 species